rnacentral:rRNA from 1 species
UACGGGGGGAGCAAGCGUUGUUCGGAUUUACUGGGCGUAAAGGGCGCGUAGGCGGCCAGCACAAGUCAGUUGUGAAAUCUCCGAGCUUAACUCGGAAAGGUCAACUGAUACUGUGCGGCUAGAGUGCGGAAGGGGCAACUGGAAUUCUUGGUGUAGCGGUGAAAUGCGUAGAUAUCAAGAGGAACACCUGCGGCGAAGGCGGGUUGCUGGGCCGUAACUGACGCUGAGGAGCGAAAGCAUGGGGAGCGAACAGG